UACGAAGGGUGCAAACGUUGCUCGGAAUUAUUGGGCGUAAAGCGCACGUAGGCGGCUUAGCAAGUUGGAUGUGAAAUCCCUCGGCUCAACCAAGGAAGUGCAUCCAAAACUGCUGAGCUUGAGUACUUAAGAGGAUCGCGGAAUUCCCGGUGUAGAGGUGAAAUUCGUAGAUAUCUGGAGGAAUACCGGUGGCGAAGGCGGCAUCCUGGACCAUUACUGACGCUGAGGCGCGAAAGCUAGGGGAGCAAACGGG
rnacentral:rRNA from 1 species